UAUUACCUAGGGGCGCAGCAGUAGGGAAUUUUCGUCAAUGGGCGCAAGCCUGAACGAGCAAUGCCGCGUGAACGAGGAAGGUCUUCGGAUCGUAAAGUUCUGUUGAAGGGGAAAAAGAGCGGAGAGAGGAAAUGGUCUCCGAUUGAUAUUACCCUUCGAGGAAGUCACGGCUAACUACGUGCCAGCAGCCGCGGUAAUACGUAGGUGGCGAGCGUUAUCCGGAAUGAUUGGGCGUAAAGGGUGCGUAGGCGGCCUGCUAAGUCUGGAGUGAAAGGUACCGGCUCAACCGGUACAGGCUCUGGGAA
rnacentral:rRNA from 1 species